GCGGUGCCCUUGCGGCGCAGCUGGGGUCGCGGCCCUGCUCCCCGCGCUUUCUUAAGGCCCGCGGGCGGCGCAGGAGCGGCACUCGUGGCUGUGGUGGCUUCGGCAGCGGCUUCAGCAGAUCGGCGGCAUCAGCGGUAGCACCAGCACUAGCAGCAUGUUGAGCCGGGCAGUGUGCGGCACCAGCAGGCAGCUGGCUCCGGUUUUGGGGUAUCUGGGCUCCAGGCAGAAGCACAGCCUCCCCGACCUGCCCUACGACUACGGCGCCCUGGAACCUCACAUCAACGCGCAGAUCAUGCAGCUGCACCACAGCAAGCACCACGCGGCCUACGUGAACAACCUGAACGUCACCGAGGAGAAGUACCAGGAGGCGUUGGCCAAGGGAGAUGUUACAGCCCAGAUAGCUCUUCAGCCUGCACUGAAGUUCAAUGGUGGUGGUCAUAUCAAUCAUAGCAUUUUCUGGACAAACCUCAGCCCUAACGGUGGUGGAGAACCCAAAGGGGAGUUGCUGGAAGCCAUCAAACGUGACUUUGGUUCCUUUGACAAGUUUAAGGAGAAGCUGACGGCUGCAUCUGUUGGUGUCCAAGGCUCAGGUUGGGGUUGGCUUGGUUUCAAUAAGGAACGGGGACACUUACAAAUUGCUGCUUGUCCAAAUCAGGAUCCACUGCAAGGAACAACAGGCCUUAUUCCACUGCUGGGGAUUGAUGUGUGGGAGCACGCUUACUACCUUCAGUAUAAAAAUGUCAGGCCUGAUUAUCUAAAAGCUAUUUGGAAUGUAAUCAACUGGGAGAAUGUAACUGAAAGAUACAUGGCUUGCAAAAAGUAAACCACGAUCGUUAUGCUGAGUAUGUUAAGCUCUUUAUGACUGUUUUUGUAGUGGUAUAGAGUACUGCAGAAUACAGUAAGCUGCUCUAUUGUAGCAUUUCUUGAUGUUGCUUAGUCACUUAUUUCAUAAACAACUUAAUGUUCUGAAUAAUUUCUUACUAAACAUUUUGUUAUUGGGCAAGUGAUUGAAAAUAGUAAAUGCUUUGUGUGAUUGAAUCUGAUUGGACAUUUUCUUCAGAGAGCUAAAUUACAAUUGUCAUUUAUAAAACCAUCAAAAAUAUUCCAUCCAUAUACUUUGGGGACUUGUAGGGAUGCCUUUCUAGUCCUAUUCUAUUGCAGUUAUAGAAAAUCUAGUCUUUUGCCCCAGUUACUUAAAAAUAAAAUAUUAACACUUUCCCAAGGGAAACACUCGGCUUUCUAUAGAAAAUUGCACUUUUUGUCGAGUAAUCCUCUGCAGUGAUACUUCUGGUAGAUGUCACCCAGUGGUUUUUGUUAGGUCAAAUGUUCCUGUAUAGUUUUUGCAAAUAGAGCUGUAUACUGUUUAAAUGUAGCAGGUGAACUGAACUGGGGUUUGCUCACCUGCACAGUAAAGGCAAACUUCAACAGCAAAACUGCAAAAAGGUGGUUUUUGCAGUAGGAGAAAGGAGGAUGUUUAUUUGCAGGGCGCCAAGCAAGGAGAAUUGGGCAGCUCAUGCUUGAGACCCAAUCUCCAUGAUGACCUACAAGCUAGAGUAUUUAAAGGCAGUGGUAAAUUUCAGGAAAGCAGAAGUU
rnacentral:misc_RNA from 1 species